rnacentral:rRNA from 1 species
UACGAAGGGGGCUAGCGUUGCUCGGAAUUACUGGGCGUAAAGCGCACGUAGGCGGCUCUUUAAGUCGGAGGUGAAAUCCUGGAGCUCAACUCCAGAACUGCCUUCGAUACUGAAGAGCUCGAGUCCGGGAGAGGUGAGUAGAACUGCGAGUGUAGAGGUGAAAUUCGUAGAUAUUCGCAAGAACACCAGUGGCGAAGGCGGCUCACUGGCCCGGUACUGACGCUGAGGUGCGAAAGCGUGGGGAGCAAACAGG